rnacentral:rRNA from 1 species
UACGGGGGGGGUAAGCGUUGUUCGGAAUUACUGGGGGUAAAGGGCUCGUAGGCGGCCAACUAAGUCAGACGUGAAAUCCCUCAGCUUAACUGGGGAACUGCGUCUGAUACUGGAUGGCUUGGAUCCGGAAGAGGGAUGCGGAAUUCCAGGUGUAGCGGUGAAAUGCGUCGAUAUCUGGAGGAACACCGGUGGCGAAGGCGGCAUCCUGGACCGAGAUUGACGCUGAGGCGCGAAAGCCAGGGGAGCAAACGGG